rnacentral:lncRNA from 1 species
AGAUGAUGUUUUAAUAUUGUGUAAAUAUGUAAUUUGUUAUUUUAAUAUUUCGCAGGUAUUUGUCAGAUAUUGUUGUCUGUCAAAUAGUAUUUAUUCUAUUAGUUUUCUCAGUCAGGUACCCUUUAUCUGAUUGGCUAAUAGCACUGCAUGCUUUUCACGUGCACACACUACAUGAACAGCAGACAUGUUUGACGGGUUUUGACAGGCGACAGAUCAGAAUACAUUAUAGGUUUUCACACUCUUGUUGACCACCGGCAUUGUUUACGCUCGUGUACCACAUACAGGGUAUGACAUAGUUAGUUAGUAAUCAAGCAGUUAUUUCAAUUAAUUAUUAAUCUUAAACUUCAUUAUAACAUAAUUGUAAUAUUUAAUAUAGUAAAGUAUUUUUUUUAUUCUGACAACAUUCCACAGUAAUUUAUUUUAAGUCAAUUAGGUUAAUGUAUUCACUAAAUCUCAACCAUUUGUUAUUCUUGUAAUUACCUCCCCUUGGAGUUGAUUAUCCCGAUAUCUAUCAUAUACAUGUAGGUGUGGAUCAAAAGGUUAUUCAGGUUUAGUUCAAUCAAACAGAUUGUUUGAUUAGGAAGAUAUUAUAGUUUAGUAGAUGUUACUUAUAACCGUGACAUUAAUGGGAUACGAAUUGAAAUGUUAAUAUAUAUUUUUUUAAUAUUGAUGACCUGUGAUGGACAUAUUUUUAUGAUGUUGUGAUUGACAUGUAUGAUCGAACUAUUUUUAUGACGAUGAUUUUUAUGACGCAUACAUGUAAUUAUUUAUAAUGAACGCCUGUUAUAUAUUGUAUAUUUUAUUCUUCCAGGGCGUUGUUUGCAAUGACAUAAUGAACUUUAUGAAGUAAAUCAUUUCCAAACGU